CACAGAGAGAGAGAGAGAGAGAAAGAGAGAGAGAUGGAGAAGAAUCCACCGGAAUCCAAGCUCGCUGCCCCCGGCGUCAGGGAAUGGCCCAAAAAAGCAAUGCCCGGAAGACAUCAUGGAUUUUGAGUGGAGGGAAGACACUCGCAGGGCGAACGACUUCUUUCGUUGUCAUGACGCAGAAGAAUGUGGUCGAUGGUGCUGACUGGUUAUUUGGGUGAAAUUGGUAGGUGACACACUAACCCUACAACACGAAUGGUCGCAUGAUUGUGCUAUGGGGAUCUCCUCCAGGCAAAUUCCCAUGGACGAGGAGGGCAAGGUGAAGGUGUACCCCCGAGGGGCA